GUUAAACAUUCUCUUAUAUACAUACAUAUUUUUAUAUUGCUUAUUUACACCCAGACCUUCACGAUCAACCAUCCCCUUGCCCGCCAAGAGGGGACCCCCCGUAGGCCGCCUGGUUCCGCGCAUUAUCAAUUGACUCAUUCGAUUGGCUGUCCUGUCGAAGCGGAAACCCCACGAAACUAGUCGACGUUGACCAAUCAAUGAAUUGUACAAUUAUUUGUUUUGCAAUUUUAAUAAAUCAAUAAACUUUUUUAUAUCAUUA